AAACAAAUAAAAUAAAAAUGCU
rnacentral:piRNA from 1 species